rnacentral:rRNA from 1 species
ACUCCUACGGGAGGCAGCAGUGGGGAAUAUUGCACAAUGGGCGCAAGCCUGAUGCAGCAACGCCGCGUGAGCGAUGAAGGCCUUCGGGUCGUAAAGCUCUGUCCUCAAGGAAGAAUAAAUGACGGUACUUGAGGAGGAAGCCCCGGCUAACUACGUGCCAGCAGCCGCGGUAAUACGUAGGGGCAAGCGUUAUCCGGAAUCACUGGGCGUAAAGGGUGCGUAGGCGGUUUUUCAAGUCAGAAGUGAAAGGCUAUGGCUCAACCAUAGUAAGCUUUUGAAACUGUUAAACUUGAGUGCAGGAGAGGAAAGUGGAAUUCCUAGUGUAGAGGUGAAAUUCGUAGAUAUUAGGAGGAACACCAGUGGCGAAGGCGACUUUCUGGACUGUAACUGACGCUGAGGCACGAAAGCGUGGGAGCGAACAGGAUUAGAUACCCUGGUAGCACAGAG